rnacentral:rRNA from 1 species
ACAACGAAGAGUUUGAUCCUGGCUCAGGAUGAACGCUAGCGGCAGGCUUAACACAUGCAAGUCGAGGGGUAACAGGGAUUGCUUGCAAUCCGCUGACGACCGGCGCACGGGUGCGUAACGCGUAUGCAACCUAC